GCGGGGCGGGGCGGCGCUCUAGGCCGAGCGGGAGGUCGGGGCUGCGGGCGCUCGCUGGUGGCGGACCCGGAGGCGGCUGCGGCGCCGGGGCUCCGUGGCCUGGAUUGAAUCCGAUCGGGAGCCAUGAGCGUGGACAAAGCUGAGCUAUGCGGGUCUCUGCUCACCUGGUUACAGACGUUCCACGUUCCGUCUCCCUGUGCCAGCCCUCAGGACCUGAGCAGCGGCCUUGCCGUAGCCUAUGUGCUAAACCAGAUGUGAGUGGAGCUGAGGGGGAGGAUCCCAAAAGUGUCCCCCAGUCUGCUCAUCCCACCUUCUCGCCCCCAGAGACCCCUCCUGGUUCAACGAGGCAUGGCUCCAGGGCAUCUCGGAAGAUCCAGGUCCCAACUGGAAGCUGAAGGUGACAAGUGGACUCCUGAUUAGAGGACAGACUGGUGAAGAGAUGACCAGGGACGGGCCAGCUAGGCACAUGUCCUGGGUGAUGGGCAGGAAGAGGGACAGAUGUCUGGUGAUCAACCAUUUGUUCAUCCAUUCAUCUAUGGAGUACUCACCCUGUGCCAGGCCUGGGCAUUCAGCAAGGAAUAACACAGACAAAAACCUGCCCCAUACAGCCAUCAUUCUAGUGACAAGCAACACAUACACAACCAUAAAAAAACUUCCAGGCUGGGUGCAGUGGCUCAUGCCUGUAAUCCCAACACUUUGAGAGGCUAAAGUGGGUGGAUCACUUGGAGCCAGGAGUUCAAGACCAGCCUGGCCAACAUGUUGAAACCCCAUCUCUACUAAAAAUACAAAAAUUAGCUGAGUGUGGUGGUGCGCACCUGUAAUCCCAGUUACUUGGGAGGCUGAGACAUGAGAAUCACUUGAACCUGGGAGGUGGAGGUUGCAGUGAGCCGAGAUCGAACCAUUGCACUCCAGCCUGGGCAACAGAGCAAGACUCUGUCUCAAGAAGAAAAAAAAAAGAAAAAGAAAAAGAAAAAACUUUUGAUGCCAAUAGUUCUGUGAAGACAACAAAAAAGCAGGGCUUUGAGAGAGAGCAAUGAGGGCAUGGGUGGCUGAUUACAUCAGAUGAGUUAAUCUCCAAGUGAAAUUUGGGGGAAUGGUGUUCCAG
rnacentral:sRNA from 1 species